ensembl:lncRNA
AGUCAGGAGAAGUAUGAGAGUGAUUUUGUAAGAUAAAAGUUAAGAAUGAGUGCAAGUAUCUCAAGCUACUUCCCUAUACUCUUGCCCUUUGUCAGUAUGUGUAAUUGUUGACUACCUACUCCAGCCCUGUCUUGCUUCGAGUACAGCUGUAGACUUAGUAUGUGUGGGAGAACAAGGGUACAACUGUAAAUAUAAAAGAAAGGAAACAUUUUCAAAGUUCUGUUCCUUCCUGCUAGCCCCAUGAAAUCCUCUUGUCAUGAGAGUAAAUUUUGUCAAAUUAACUUGAAAUUCUUUUAAUUACAAUUUAAAGUUUAAAAGACUUGUACAGACCACAGCUGAACUCAGUGAUAGCUAGAGGCUUCUGUUUUAGGAGAUAACUGUAGAUAGCCAAAGAUUGUUGCCAAGGUAGCCUUAUACUUCAUCAGAUAUUCUUUCUUAAAUGAUAGCUUCAGAAAUUUUUUUUUAACAUUUCUGUAUAUAUCUUAAAAUUCCUUUUUUGCAAUUGUUUUCUCAUUGGAAUUAUUUAUGGACUUUUUCAUUACCUAGAUUUAGUUCAUUUUCCAGAUAGUUCAGGGACAUUUUAGAAACUUCCAACUUCUACGCAGAAAUGAAAGACAUUCGUUCUAGAGACAGGGUAGAUCAGCCUUGGUGUUUCUCUACUGCUGUUACCAAACGUAAUAAAAGAUAAAUCUUUUUACAAUACGAAUAUGAGGAAUGAAAUCUAAAUUUUCUCAUACUUGAUAAUUUAUAUUACUUAAAAAAAUUAGAUGUUGCUGUUAGUCCUGACAUUAUGCCAGGACCUAAGAUGCAUGGGUAUUGGCCCUCAUUGGGUGGAAUGACUUUUUUUAACCUCUUUAUGAGGAAGAGUCUUUGGCUCUGUUUCUAAUGUCAUUGAAGGCCUCUGAUAAUUGGCUUAUAAAACCUUUCUGAAAAUGUACAUGAAUUUCUUUUAAAAAUUACAGAAUAGAUAACUAAAAUGUAAGUUAAAAAACCUAGUAACCUCAAUUCUAUGAACUCUGGUCUUCUGACAGAACAAAACCUGUGUUGAUUUUUUUCAGGCACCUUGAUACAUGCAGCCUUCUCAGAGUGACUCUUUAGUGAGAGUGAUUACCCAGUUAUGCAUGAGUACGGUCAGCAAGGAAUCCAGUUCAAAUAGUGGAAUAGCAUCUGUGAGUAAGAGAGAGAGAGAGAGAGAGAGAGAGAGAGGGAGAGAGUGAGUGUGUGUGUGUGUGUGUGUGUGUGUGUGUGUGUGUGUUUACGGGAUGGAGGACAAUACAUACAGAUUGAGGCAACAGUAAGUCAGGCUGAAAUCCUCUAUAAAUGAGAAUUGAUUAUUGCAGCUGAUCAAUGUGGAAAUAGGUAAUUAAAACAUGGUAUGUAAGGACACAAAGUUCCUCAGUGUUGUCUUCGUUUUUUUUUUUUUUGUUUUUUUUUUUUAUUUUAUUUAUUUUUGGCUGUGUUGGGUCUUCGCUGCUGCGCGCAGGCUUUCUCUAGUUGUGGCGAGUGGGGGCUACUCUUCGUUGCGGUGCGCAGGCUUCUCAUUGCGGUAGUUUCUCUUGUUGCAGAGCAUGAGCUCUAGGCAUGCAGGCUUCAGUAGUUGUAGCACGCGGGCUCAGUAGUUGUGGCCCGUGGGCUCUAGAGCACAGGCUCAGUAGUUGUGGCGCACGGGCUUAGUUGGGAUGUGGGAUCUUCGCGGACCAGGGCUUGAAUCCAUGUCCCCUGCAUUGGCAGGUGGAUUCUUAACCACUGCGCCACCAGGGAAGCCCAGGGUUGGCCUCCUAAGACAAUUAGUGGUGUUGAGAACCUCUGUCAGGCUUCUCAAUAAUGUUUUCUUAGCUGGAUAGUUAGGAUGUGCUACUGAUGUGAUCCAAAAAGUUUUCAGCUCUGAAAGUUGCCAAAAGAGGGGAAGCCUCAGUGUGUACCAGUCUGGAAACAGAAUGUCGAUUCUACUUAGGGGUGAGUGGUAAAAGCAGAUCACCAGUGUGCCUGUUUGUAUCCUCACAACGUGCAUUAGCAGCUUUGCUCUCUCCUCAUUUAUAUAUGGUUUUAUCCCCUAGAUCAGAGCUUCCAUUCCCCCACAUUAUCCUAGAUCCUCUUACUGUCUCAGCAACAGGAUUCAGCACUGAGUGUGUUGCUAAUUUCCACCCCCAUAGAUAAUAUAUCACUAGGAAUGUUUUUGGCUGCAACGGAAAACCCCUGCACUGGGGUAAACAGACAUUUAUUUUUCUCAGGUAACAGAAGAUUAGGCAGUCCGGGGUCACACAGCUGCUCACCAGCGUUGUUAAGGACCAGGCCUUUCCUAUUUUGGGGGACCCAUGUUGGUCAUGGGGGUUCCUCCUUAGAAUUUUUUGGGGAGGUAAUCUCUGGUGACCUCCACCUACAUCACAUUGGCAAGAACUGUGUAUGUCCACCACCAGCUGCAAGGGGUCCUGUGUUUUCAUCUGGGCACAUGGCUGCCCUGGAAAGUAGCUGGUGUUGGAUUAGUAAGAAGGAGGGGAGAACAGGUCCUGGAUUGGCACUGCAGUGUGUGCCUCAGAAUGCUAUUAUUAUUCCACCGAGUUUAUUUGGAUGUAAUCCUUUUGAUAAUCGCUCACAUAAGGUGAUAGUACAUCACGUGGCUUUGCUUAAUUCUUUUAGUUUCAAAGUUACUAAAUUGCAAAAAAGUUAGUAUUCUUUAUAGGAGGAAGGAAAGACGGAUUGUAAUUUUGUGUUCAGCUGUUGCUGUUGAAUAUGAUCUGUUUUCCUCUGACUUAUCUCGAAACUAUAACCUGCGUAAAACUCAUGCCAAGUUAGGUAUUUGUUUCACAGAUU